rnacentral:rRNA from 1 species
CGGGAAUUUUGGGCAAUGGGCGAAAGCCUGACCCAGCAACGCCGCGUGAGGGAUGAAGUAUUUCGGUAUGUAAACCUCGAAAGAAUGGGAAGAAUAAAUGACGGUACCAUUUAUAAGCUCCGGCUAACUACGUGCCAGCAGCCGCGGUAAUACGUAGGGAGCAAGCGUUGUUCGGAUUUACUGGGCGUAAAGGGCGCGUAGGCGGCGCGGUAAGUCACUUGUGAAAUCUCUGAGCUUAACUCAGAACGGCCAAGUGAUACUGCUGUGCUAGAGUGCGGAAGAGGCAACCGGAAUUCUUGGUGUAGCGGUGAAAUGCGUAGAUAUCAAGAGGAACACCUGAGGCGAAGGCGGGUUGCUGGGCCGACACUGACUCUGAUGCGCGAAAGCCAGGGGAGCAAACG